rnacentral:rRNA from 1 species
UGGGGAAUAUUGCACAAUGGGCGCAAGCCUGAUGCAGCAACGCCGCGUGAACGAUGAAGGUCUUCGGAUCGUAAAGUUCUGUUGCAGGGGAAGUUAAUGACGGUACCCUGUGAGGAAGCCCCGGCUAACUACGUGCCAGCAGCCGCGGUAAUACGUAGGGGGCUAGCGUUAUCCGGAUUUACUGGGCGUAAAGGGUGCGUAGGUGGUCUUUCAAGUCGGUGGUUAAAGGCUACGGCUCAACCGUAGUUAGCCUCCGAAACUGGAAGACUUGAGUGCAGGAGAGGAAAGUGGAAUUCCCAGUGUAGCGGUGAAAUGCGUAGAUAUUGGGAGGAACACCAGUAGCGAAGGCGGCUUUCUGGACUGCAACUGACACUGAGGCACGAAAGCGUGGGUAGCAAACAGG